GCAAACGGUGAAUGCCUUGGCAUCUGGAGCCGAAGAAGGACGUAGCAAUCUGCGAUAAGCCUCGGGGAGUCGAUAAGCAGACUUUGAUCCGAGGAUGUCCGAAUGGGGAAACCCAGCUGGACUCGAUCCAGUUACUCCCGCCUGAAUGUAUAGGGCGGGUAGAGGGAACGUGGGGAAGUGAAACAUCUCAGUACCCACAGGAAGAGAAAGCAAAAGCGAUUCCGUUAGUAGUGGCGAGCGAAACCGGAAGAGGCCAAACCGAUGGUGUGUGAUAGCCGGCAGGCGUUGCAUCAUCGGGGUUGUGGGACCCUCCCGCUGUUCUGCCGAACAGCAAGAGUUACAGCGCAAUAUAGUCGAAUGGCAUUGAAAGGCCAGUCAUAGAGGGUGCUAACCCCGUAGACGAAAUGUUGUAAUGGCUCGGAGGGGAUCCCAAGUAGCACGGGGCCC
rnacentral:rRNA from 1 species